rnacentral:lncRNA from 1 species
UGCCAAGCUCCCCGAGCCCCGGCUCUGCGCUCCUGCCGCGGGGACGCGAGGCUGUGCCGGGGCAGGAUCGGUGGCCCCAGAUCAAAUGCCACCCUGCUCGGAGGGAAGCCUACAGGCCGGCGACCCCCUAGGGACAGCAAGUCCUGGGACCAGGCCGGCCAGCCUCGCUGGAGUCGACCUUCCUGUGCAACGUCACACCUCUUGAGGACAGCCAGGAGGACUCCAGCUUUUGCUGAGCUUCACAUCUUGCCUCCUUCCUUCCAUCUUACUCCAGACCCAAGUGUGGCGGUCCUCAAGGCCCUUGUGCCCCUGGCCAGGCGCUCCACUGCCCUUCCAGGCCAGCCCAGUUCUGGAGCUCACCUCCAGGACCUGGAGCCUGCCCUCCUGCCCAGAAUGACUCACCAUUAUUUCUCGCUCAAGUGAGAAGACGUGAUGGGCAGUCGGGCUGCCUAUUUGUGUAUCUAGGAUUCCCACAGUAUCUGAUCAGCCCUUCGAGGAAGAGAGCUUCAGGUUCCUGCCUUGCCAGCCAAGCCGGGCUAUCUCUCUGGCCCUCAGAGAGCCAUCAGGGCUCUCCUGCAGGAACCCAGGCCAAUGCUCCUGUGUUUCCUGGGGCCGUAAGCAGCACCCUGAGCUCCCUGCCACCAGGCAGCUGGAAGGCAUAGCGUGAGA